CAAUUUGAUAAAACCUUCAUUGUAAUGAAUGACAAAGGUAACAACAACAACUUAUCCAAUGCCAGAUAAACGUUUUUUCCAACCUGAGCAUCAUCUCUGUUAAAACAAUAAAUUUUCUCUUUUGCAGCUUGUAUAGGAUUGUUGUACCCUUUCUUUGACCAGAAAUUAGGAGAGCCACUUGUGUAUAAAAGAGAAUGGUCAAGUGUGAUGAGAUGUGUAGCAGUGUUUGUAGGAAUCAACCAUGCUAGUGCUGUAUCCUUUAUAUAUAGUUCUUCAUAAUAUCAUGAAUAUACAUGCACAUGUACAUUUGUACAUGUGUAUUGUGAAAUUUACAUUUCCAGGAAGAUGUUUUCACCAGUAUUUCUGGUCAUUUUUCUAUAAUUUUAGUUUUUAUCAAUAUAUCUUUGUAAUUGUGAAAUUCUUAAAUAUGAAAUUUGGAUAAAAACAAAUUGAAAACACCUUAUUUGAUGCAUUCUGUGUAAUAUUUUCAAAAGCAUUCAUGUACAAUUAAUGUACAAGAAAAUGUAUGUAUUCACUCAAAUAUUGUGAUUAACUAUUGAAAAUUGAUAUAAUAAUCAAACAAAUUGGGGAAUAAUAUUUUCAAUUUUCUAUGUAUGAAAUUACCCAAAUUAGAUUUUUGAAAUGAUAAUCUUUAAGGUUUGUUAAUGCUGAUUCAACAUUUUUAUAUGUUAAAAAUAAAAAUAAAAUAGUUGAUUUUGGUAAUGUUAUGAGUACCUCCUCUAGUCAUGAUAGUUAAAAUUUUCCCCAUUAGUUUUUAUUAACAGUUAAACUAUUCAGAAUAAAUUCUUUUUAUCGUUUUCUUUAAACUGUCUGUUGACGUGUUAAUUGUUUUGCCAUUUUUUAAUGCUGAGUACCAAUGUAUGUUAUAGAUUUUUUCCUUAACCUUGUAUUAGAGAUUAGACUUCGCUGACAAUUUCCAACUAUCAUUGACACUUGCAGCAAUGUCUAUAGGUCUGUGGUGGUUAUUUGACAGAUCUGGCAGUGGCUUUAGUUUGGGAGUUGGCAUUGCUGUCCUGGCUACAUUUAUGACUCAACUAGUUGUUUAUUCUGGAAUUUACAGGUA
rnacentral:lncRNA from 1 species